rnacentral:rRNA from 1 species
GGCUCAGGACGAACGCUGGCGGCGUGCCUAAUACAUGCAAGUCGAGCGGGGUUAUGUAGAAGCUUGCUUCUACAUAACCUAGCGGCGGACGGGUGAGUAACACGUAGGCAACCUGCCCACAAGACAGGGAUAACUACCGGAAACGGUAGCUAAUACCCGAUACAUCCUUUUCCUGCAUGGGAGAAGGAGGAAAGACGGAGCAAUCUGUCACUUGUGGAUGGGCCUGCGGCGCAUUAGCUAGUUGGUGGGGUAAAGGCCUACCAAGGCGACGAUGCGUAGCCGACCUGAGAGGGUGAUCGGCCACACUGGGACUGAGACACGGCCCAGACUCCUACGGGAGGCAGCAGUAGGGAAUCUUCCGCAAUGGGCGAAAGCCUGACGGAGCAACGCCGCGUGAGUGAUGAAGGUUUUCGGAUCGUAAAGCUCUGUUGCCAGGGAAGAACGUCUUGUAGAGUAA